UACAGAGGGUGCGAGCGUUGUCCGGAAUCACUGGGCGUAAAGGGCGUGUAGGCGGCUGGGUAAGCCGCGCGUGAAAUCCCGGGGCUCAACCCCGGAACUGCGCGCGGGACUGUCCGGCUCGAGCAUGGUAGAGGCGAGUGGAAUUCCUGGUGUAGCGGUGGAAUGCGUAGAGAUCAGGAAGAACACCGGUGGCGAAGGCGGCUCGCUGGGCCAUUGCUGACGCUGAGGCGCGAAAGCGUGGGGAGCAAACAGG
rnacentral:rRNA from 1 species